AGUGAACGCUGGCGGUAGGCCUAACACAUGCAAGUCGAACGGCAGCACAGUAAGAGCUUGCUCUUACGGGUGGCGAGUGGCGGACGGGUGAGGAAUACAUCGGAAUCUACUUUUUCGUGGGGGAUAACGUAGGGAAACUUACGCUAAUACCGCAUACGACCUACGGGUGAAAGCAGGGGAUCUUCGGACCUUGCGCGAUUGAAUGAGCCGAUGUCGGAUUAGCUAGUUGGCGGGGUAAAGGCCCACCAAGGCGACGAUCCGUAGCUGGUCUGAGAGGAUGAUCAGCAACUCUGGUGCGCUGCCGAGGUGCUGACUGCAUGGGGGGGCAGUAGGGGGGAAGAUGGUCCAAGGGGCGAAAGCUGGAUCAAGCCAGACCGGGUGGGUGAUGCAGGCUGUGGGGUUGAAAAGACCUUUUGGUGGGAACUAAAAGCAUCAGUUUAAACCCCCGCUGUUCUAACGAGACCCAAACAAUAAGCACCGGCUAACUUCGUGCCAGCAGCGGCGGUAAUAGAUAGACAAACGUCUGAAC
rnacentral:rRNA from 1 species